rnacentral:rRNA from 1 species
CCAGACUCCUACGGGAGGCAGCAGUGGGGGAUAUUGCACAAUGGGGGAAACCCUGAUGCAGCGACGCCGCGUGAGCGAAGAAGUAUCUCGGUAUGUAAAGCUCUAUCAGCAGGGAAGAAAAUGACGGUACCUGACUAAGAAGCUCCGGCUAAAUACGUGCCAGCAGCCGCGGUAAUACGUAUGGAGCAAGCGUUAUCCGGAUUUACUGGGUGUAAAGGGAGCGCAGGCGGCGCGCCAAGUCUGGUGUGAAACCCCGGGGCUCAACCCCGGGACUGCAUUGGAAACUGGCGGGCUGGAGUGUCGGAGGGGCAGGCGGAAUUCCUGGUGUAGCGGUGAAAUGCGUAGAUAUCAGGAGGAACACCGGUGGCGAAGGCGGCCUGCUGGACGACAACUGACGCUGAGGCUCGAAAGCGUGGGGAGCAAACAGGAUUAGAUACCCUCGUA